AUGAAUCAACUCAAUAUUGCUACCGAAGGCUUCUCUGGAAAAUAUCUGGGCUUACCAUGCUAUAUUGGUAAAUCAAAAAGCAAAGCCUUUGAGUAUAUCAAGGAAAGAGUAUGGAAAAGGAUACAAGGGGGCAAAGAAAAAAUGCUCUCGAAGGCCGGCAAGGAAAUUCUUAUCAAAGCUGUAGCGCAAGCAAUCCCUGUUUAUGCAAUGGCAUGUUUUGAUCUUACCAAAUAUCUAUGUGAUGAUAUUAGCUCAAUGAUUGGGAAGUUUUGGUGGAGUCAAAUGGAUAAAGAAAAUAAAAUCCACUGGGUCGGAUGGGAUAAGCUGACAAAACCCAAAAAGGACGGGGGGCUAGGAUUUAGGGACUUAUACUCCUUCAACUUAGCUAUGCUAGCAAGGCAGGCUUGGAGAAUGUUACAAAGCCCAGCGUCUUUGUGCGCACAGGUGUUCGUAGCGAAAUACUAUCCAAACCAGAAUCUGCUACAAGCGAGGCCAAGGGAUGGCAUUUCAUAUAGUUGGAGAAGCAUUUUGAAAGGAGUACAGGUGCUACAAAGCGGAAUCAUAUGGAGAGUAGGAGAUGGAUGCACUAUCAAUAUAUGGUCAGACCCUUGGCUACCAAGGGGCAUCUCCAGAAGUGUAACAUCCCAGCAAGGCAGCCAUGUUAUUACUAAGGUUUCAGACUUGAUUGACUCCACCUCUGGCACAUGGGAUAUACAACUGCUCUGA
rnacentral:rRNA from 1 species